AAGUGUCUCUAGGUGAACCUGCGGAGGGAUCAUUAACACGUAUCCAGCGUUAACCCCCCUGAACUGUUAGAGUGCUCUUGCAGCCUCGAAAGGAACAUCAAUCCUGGUAAAUCAGUCCGAGAACAGUUUGAUUCAGGACCUCUGUCUAAAGGAUGCAAUUGAGCGCUCGGGCAAGUGGCUUGGUUCCCAGGCAGUUACCAUUUGAAAGUGUCGCUAAUUGUGCAAGGAGGCCAUACACCGGCCGGUGACUCGCGACCACCGGGCUCACGCCGCCUAAUUCCAGAGCGGACUCUGGGCGGAGCUUACGUCCAAAACCGAACAACUGUUACCAACGAAUGUCUUGGUUCUU
rnacentral:misc_RNA from 1 species